CUUUCAUUUCAUAAGAUAUUUUUGAGAGAGUUAGAGAGAGAAAGUGGGAGCAAGAGGAGGAAAGAGCUAGAGAGAAGAGGACUUGAAGAAUCAAUGAUUGAGAGAAGAGCUAGGAGUAAAAUUGAAGCCCAAUCUAGAGAGAUUAACCUAACUAAGGUAAGGGGGUUAGAAUUCAUCAUAAUCACUUAUUGCAAUUUUUCAAUUAUGGUAUGAAUAAGUGUUUAAUUGUGUAAUUGAUUAAUUGUUAGAAUUCGUGCUCCAAUUAUGAUGACAUGUUUGUAUAUAUGAAGUUAUGAUAAUUGAAUUGUUGUUGGUGAAACUUCAUGAUCAAAGUAUGUGAAAAGUGGGUUAUGUGAAAAUAUGCUCAAUUGGUGAAUUAUGCUAUGUUGUUGUUAAAUUGUGAUAAGUUUCAUGAUCAAUGGAUGUUGUUGUUGUUAAGUGAUGUUAUGGAUGUUAAUUCAUGGCUUGGGUAUGCAUGAUUCAUAAUUUGUUGUCAAAUAAGUUGUUGUUGUUGGUUUGGUGAAAAUAGGUACUUAUGAGUUUUGCUCAAAUUGUUGGAUUGGGAUAUUGUGUUGUUGAAUUAUGGUUGAAUUCAUGUCUAAAUGAAGUGUUGUUGAAUUAGAUAUGUUGUUGUUGUUGAAUGAUAUCAUGGGUAUUCCAUUUUAUGAAGUAGUUGUUUGUAUUGGUGAAGUUGUGCUAGAUGUUCAUGUGAAUGACCCAAAGUGAAAUUUGAUAUACAAAGUUGUUGACUGAGUUGUCUAUGUGGUUGGAUGAGUUAAACUUGAUGGAAUUUCUGUUUUUAUGUUGUAGUUGUGAUGGUCGAGUCGUUUGGGAGAAAUCGAGGGUUUCGGGUGAAAAUUCAAUUGUUAAUCAUUUUGGAAAAAUGAGUGUUGUGUAAGGCUGUGGAAAAUGAAUUUGGGAAUGUUGAAACUUGAAUUUUUCUGUACAUUAAGAUAGGGCUAAGUGUCAUGAACACGUAGGUGAAAACGGUAUCGAAAACGGAUUAACAGUUUGAUUUUUAUGCGCGAAAACGUGAAGGUUGAAAAUCUGGUGCUGUCUGUCAAACUAUGAUCGUGCCACGAUUCGGGGCCAACGUGCCACAAUUUUGAUCAGGAUUUCAGUCUUUCUGAUCCUGGAAAAAUCGUGCCACGAUGGGAAACCAACGUGCCACGAUGUUGUCUUUCUAAAAAUCUUUAAAAUGCAAUUUUCUGCGAUCCAAUUGUUUCCAAACAUAUUCCUAAGUGUAGGGACUUUAUCCUAAUCAUCUAGGGAUAUUUUAAUGAAAGAAUUAACCUUGUGUAAAGGGUCUAGUGAGUCCUUGUGUUGCUUUGUUGUGAGAAUUAUCAACGUCGGCCGUUUGCCACUUGAUACGGUAUUGUCGGAAAUGGUUCUUUCAAGUCAAUUACAUUAUAAAUUGUUGUGAUUACUCUUAUAUGACUAAGUGAAGUUGUAUGAAUGAAUGAUUGUAUUGGAUAUGAUGUUUAUCAUGUGAUGUGUAUGCUAUUGAUUAGAAUGUAAGAAAUGCUUGAAAUGGUGAAACUAUAUGAGAUAGUUAAUGUUGAAUGACAUUGUUGAUUAUUUGGAUUAUGAUGAUGUAAUACUAACCCCAGUGGUUUUGACCGCCUACCUGUCUGUAUGGAUGGGUAGACAUUGUGCAGGAUUAGUUGCUUGGUGAGUUCUUGUGCUUGGUGGAUAUCAGGAGCUAUCUCCGGUAUCGGUGUCUAUAGAGUUAGGUUGGCUCUGAUCUAGGCGUCGUUGUGUCGGUCUAGAUUAUCAUUUGUUUUAGAUUUUGUUAUGAUUGGAGAUUACCCGUAUGUUGGGAUUUUGAGAUACAUCUAUGUUGAUGUAAUAAUUGAUUCAUGACAUGUAUAUUUGGAUUACUCUAGUUUAUAUUCCACUGCGACUGUUGAGAUUAUAUAUGCACGCAUGUUUGAAUCUUGAGUUUUGAAUUUUGAAUGAUGACGUAGCAUCUAUUUCUUG
rnacentral:lncRNA from 1 species